rnacentral:rRNA from 1 species
GACGGAGGGUGCUAGCGUUGUUCGGAAUCACUGGGCGUAAAGGGCGCGUAGGCGGCCCAUGCCGUCGUCUCGUGAAAGCCCGGGGCUCAACCCCGGAGGUGCGGCCGAGACCCAUGGGCUGGAGGCCGGAAGAGGAGGGUGGAAGACCCAGUGUAGAGGUGAAAUUCGUAGAUAUUGGGUGGAACACCGGUGGCGAAAGCGGCUCUCUGGUCCGGUUCUGACGCUGAGGCGCGAAAGCGUGGGGAGCAAACAGG